CAUGUCCUCUUGAUAUUUAUUAGAGGUCUAAUCUGCUCAAUGAAAUGUUAAAUUGCCGCGGUAUUUUGACCGUGCAAAGGUAGCAUAAUAAUUAGUUUUUUUAUUGGGAACUUGGAUGAAUGAUUGGACGAGGGAUUUACUGUCUCUAUUUAAUUUUUUUUUGAAUUUAACUUUUUAGUUAGAAGGCUUAAAUUUUUUUAAAAGACGAGAAGACCCUAUAGAGUUUUACUUUUUGCUUUGUUGAUUUUUUUUUGGUAUUUAUUUAAUCAAUAAUUAUUAAGUUUGGUUGGGGUGACUGGAAAAUUUAUAAAACUUUUCUAAUUUUUAGUUAUUGAUUUAUAAAUAACAAUUCUAAUUUUUUUAGUAAUAAAAUAAAUUACCUUAGGGAUAACAGCGUUAUUUUUCUUUAGAGUUCUUAUUGAAGGAGAAUUUUGCGACCUCGAUGUUGGAUUAAAAUAAAUAUUGGGUGCAGUAGCUUAAUUAUUAAGUCUGUUCGACUUUUAAAAUUUUACAUGAUCUGAGU
rnacentral:rRNA from 1 species